GCUUUGGUGGUUAGCUCAGCCGGUAGAGCAUGAGACUCCUAAUCUCAAGGUUGUGAGUUCAAGCCCCACCUUGGACA